CGUCCGUGCUGGCAUGGACGAGUUUGGCUUCGUGUCUCCCGGUGAAUCGCUUCUUAACGAUUAAAAGCCAUGUGGGCUUGUGUUUGUAGUACCGGUGCUAUGUUGCUGGUUUUCUCUGCGUUGCUGUUGCCGUGUUUCGCCUUCAGUCGAGUGAAAAUAGCGGCUGCAUUACACUACUGUGACUACGGUAGCUGUUGUGCCUGCUGGUCUGUACUCUGACUUUCACUGCGCGGAAAACUGCAUUGCUGUAUCCUGGUCCUUUAACCUGGAUCGUGCUGGCUCGGGUUCCAGUUUCCUGAGUGCUGCUGUUUUGCCUUCAUUGGUGUUUUGCCUUUAUUGGUGUUCUGCUGGAACUAUUGUUUUGUCUGGAUUGCUGUUUUGCCUGAGAGACUGUUUUGCCUGCAUUGGGUUUUGCCUAAACUACUGUUUGGAGCUGUGGGCCAAAGCAGGAGGCUGAUGGACUUUGGUGGUGGAACCUCUUUCACUUGCCCUGCAGUCUAGAGCACAUUGGGUGUUAUUGAGGUGUGCGGUGUGAUCACGUGUGGUGUGUAGUGUAGGAGAUUCCUUUACUUCCAUAUUUUCCGCUGCCGUGGUAAGCCCUCAGCCCUGUUCCUUCCUGCCCUGGUUGUCUUUAUAAAUUAUAAAUGGACCCAUAGAGUAUUAAAUGUGAUGCGGCUAAUCAUUUUAUACUAAUUGUGUCUGUUUUAGAACGUGGCUUGUCAUGUGGAAACUUUUGUAAACAAUUGUUAAUAAAACUAAGUGUUGGAAGUA